rnacentral:rRNA from 1 species
CCCUUAGAUGUCCUGGGCCGCACGCGCGCUACACUGAUGCAUUCAACGAGUUUACCUUGGCCGAGAGGCCUGGGCAAUCUUUUAAACCUGCAUCGUGAUAGGGAUAGAUUAUUGCAAUUAUUAAUCUUGAACGAGGAAUUCCUAGUAAACGCAGAUCAUCAAUCUGCAUUGAUUACGUCCCUGCCCUUUGUACACACCGCCCGUCGCACCUACCGAUUGAAUGGUCCGGUGAGGCCUCGGGAUUGUGGCCAGCUCGCUUUAUUGGGAGUUGGUCGCGAGAACUUGUCUAAACCUUAUCAUUUAGAGGAAGGUGAAGUCGUAACA